GGUCUGCUAGCUCAAUUGGUUAGGGCGUCGUAAUAAUAACGCGAAGGUCGUAGGUUCGAUCCCUGCGCAGGCCA